GAGUUUGAUCAUGGCUCAGAACGAACGCUGGCGGCAUGCCUAACACAUGCAAGUCGAACGAGACCGCUGACUUCGGUUGGCGCGUCUAGUGGCGCACGGGUGCGUAACGCGUGGGAAUCUGCCCUUGGGUUCGGGAUAACAGUUGGAAACGACUGCUAAUACCGGAUGAUGACUUCGGUCCAAAGAUUUAUCGCCCAGGGAUGAGCCCGCGUCGGAUUAGCUAGUUGGUGGGGUAAAAGCCUACCAAGGCGACGAUCCGUAGCUGGUCUGAGAGGAUGAUCAGCCACACUGGGACUGAGACACGGCCCAGACUCCUACGGGAGGCAGCAGUGGGGAAUAUUGGACAAUGGGCGAAAGCCUGAUCCAGCAAUGCCGCGUGAGUGAUGAAGGCCUUAGGGUGUAAAGCUCCUUUACCCGGGAUGAUAAUGACAGUACCGGGAGAAUAAGCCCCGGCUAACGUCCGUAGCCAGCAGCCGCCGCCGUAAC
rnacentral:rRNA from 1 species